UUCUCUUGGUCCCGCGAUUAGUAGGAAAAAGGAAGCCUAAGCCUUUAAUUUUGACAGCAGAGUUACUGAUCACUCUACAAGUGCAUGCUUGUGACUUGGAAGAUACAUUUAGGAGUACAAGCUGUGUUUUUCCACCAGCCAAGCAAUCAAGAAUGAUGCUUACUAGAGUUGGAUCCUGAUGCUUCUGCCUUUCAAGCUGGUAAGUGAAAAUUGUUGCUAAAUUGUCCUGAGCUUGGAAGUUAAAAAUUAUACCAGAUAUGUGAUGUUUGUGCCAUUCCACAAGGUGUUUUACAAGCGACACCCUUACUGGUUUAAAGCUUAAUGAAAUUACUAAAAUAUGUUCAGGUAGGAUGAAA